GAUGAACGCUGGCGGCGUGCCUAAUACAUGCAAGUCGAACGGACGAGAUAGCGAUAUUUUGUUAGUGGCGAACGGGUGAGUAACACAUGGGUGACCUGCCCCGAAGUGGGGGAUAGCAGUUCGAAAGGACUGAUAAUACCGCGUAAGCUUAUGAUAGUUAGAGCGUCAUAAGUAAAGGUGAGAAUCGCUUCGGGAGGGGCCCGUGACCCAUCAGCUAGUUGGUAAGGUAACGGCUUACCAAGGCGAAGACGGGUAGGGGGCCUGAGAGGGUGGCCCCCCACAAUGGAACUGAAACACGGUCCAUACACCUACGGGUGGCAG
rnacentral:rRNA from 1 species